rnacentral:rRNA from 1 species
UCGAGAAUUUUUGACAAUGGGGGAAACCCUGAUCGAGCGACGCCGCGUGGAGGAUGAAGGUCUUCGGAUUGUAAACUCCUGUCAUUGGGGAACAAUGCACAGAUAUUAACUGUAUUUGUGUUGAUAGUACCCGAAGAGGAAGGGACGGCUAACUCUGUGCCAGCAGCCGCGGUAAUACAGAGGUCUCAAGCGUUGUUCGGAUUCAUUGGGCGUAAAGGGUGCGUAGGCGGCGCGGUAAGUCGGGUGUGAAAUCUCGGAGCUUAACUCCGAAACUGCAUUCGAUACUGCCGUGCUUGAGUACUGGAGAGGAGACUGGAAUUUACGGUGUAGCGGUGAAAUGCGUAGAUAUCGUAAGGAAGACCAGUGGCGAAGGCGGGUCUCUGGACAGUUCCUGACGCUGAGGCACGAAGGUCAGGGGAGCAAACGGG